GGGGGAGUGUGUUUGGAAGGAAGAGUGUGUUUGGGGGAGUGUGUUUGGAAGGAAGAGUGUGUUUGGGAGGAGUGUGUUUGGAAGGAAGAGUGUGUUUGGGGGAGUGUGUUUGGGAGGAAGAGUGUGUUUGGGAGGAGUGUGUUUGGGGGGGAGAGUGUGUUUGGGGGAGUGUGUUUGGAAGGAAGAGUGUGUUUGGGGGGAGAGUGUUUGGGAGGAAGAGUGUGUUUGGGGGAGUGUGUUUGGGAGGAAGAGUGUGUUUGGGGGGAGAGUGUUUGGGAGGAAGAGUGUGUUUGGGGGAGUGUGUUUGGAAGGAAGAGUGUGUUUGGGAGGAGUGUGUUUGGGAGGAAGAGUGUGUUUGGGGGAGAAGUGUGUUUGGGGGGAGUGUGUUUGGAAGGAAGAGUGUGUUUGGGGGAGAUGUGUUUGGGAGGAAGAGUGUGUUUGGGAGGAGUGUGUUUGGGAGGAAGAGUGUGUUUGGGGGAGAGUGUUUGGGAGGAAGAGUGUGUUUGGGAGGAGUGUGUUUGGGAGGGGGGAGAGUGUGUUUGGGAGGAGUGUGUUUGGGAGGAAGAGUGUGUUUGGGAGGGGGAGAGUGUGUUUGGGAGGAGUGUGUUUGGGAGGAAGGGUGUGUUUGGGGGGGGGGAGAGUGUGUUUGGGAGGAGUGUGUUUGGGAGGAAGAGUGUGUUUGGGAGGGGGAGAGUGUGUUUGGGAG
ensembl:lncRNA